AUUGAACGCUGGCGGCAUGCUUUACACAUGCAAGUCGAACGGUAACAGGGUGCUUGCACCGCUGACGAGUGGCGAACGGGUGAGUAAUGCAUCGGAAUGUACCGUGUAAUGGGGGAUAGCUCGGCGAAAGCCGGAUUAAUACCGCAUACGCCCUGAGGGGGAAAGUGGGGGACCGAAAGGCCUCACGUUAUACGAGCAGCCGAUGUCUGAUUAGCUAGUGGGUGAGGUAAAGGCUCACCAAGGCGUCGAUCAGUAGCGGGUCUGAGAGGAUGAUCCGCCACACUGGGACUGAGACACGGCCCAGACUCCUACGGGAGGCAGCAGUGGGGAAUUUUGGACAAUGGGCGCAAGCCUGAUCCAGCCAUGCCGCGUGUCUGAAGAAGGCCUUCGGGUUGUAAAGGACUUUUGUCCGGGAGCAAAUCCUAGUGGUUAAUAACCGCUGGGUCUGAGAGUACCGGAAGAAUAAGCACCGGCUAACUACGUG
rnacentral:rRNA from 1 species